GUUGAACGCUGGCGGCAGGCUUAACACAUGCAAGUCGAACGGGGAUGAGGUGCUUGCACCUUAUCUUAGCGGCGGACGGGUGAGUAAUGCUUAGGAAUCUGCCUAUUAGUGGGGGACAACAUUCCGAAAGGAAUGCUAAUACCGCAUACGUCCUACGGGAGAAAGCAGGGGAUCUUCGGACCUUGCGCUAAUAGAUGAGCCUAAGUCGGAUUAGCUAGUUGGUGGGGUAAAGGCCUACCAAGGCGACGAUCUGUAGCGGGUCUGAGAGGAUGAUCCGCCACACUGGGACUGAGACACGGCCCAGACUCCUACGGGAGGCAGCAGUGGGGAAUAUUGGACAAUGGGGGGAACCCUGAUCCAGCCAUGCCGCGUGUGUGAAGAAGGCCUUAUGGUUGUAAAGCACUUUAAGCGAGGAGGAGGCUACUGAGACUAAUACUCUUGGAUAGUGGACGUUACUCGCAGAAUAAGCACCGGCUAACUACGUGCCAGCCGCCGCGGUAACAC
rnacentral:rRNA from 1 species